rnacentral:rRNA from 11 species
GUCACACCCGUUCCCAUACCGAACACGGAAGUUAAGCUCUCUAGCGCCGAUGGUAGUUGGGACCUUGUCCCUGUGAGAGUAGGACGUCGCCAAGC